rnacentral:rRNA from 1 species
AUUCGCGGCCUAUCAGCUUGUUGGUGAGGUUAUGGCUUACCAAGGCGACGACGGGUAGCCGGCCUGAGAGGGUGACCGGCCACACUGGGACUGAGAUACGGCCCAGACUCCUACGGGAGGCAGCAGUGGGGAAUAUUGCACAAUGGGCGCAAGCCUGAUGCAGCGACGCCGCGUGAGGGAUGACGGCCUUCGGGUUGUAAACCUCUUUCAGCAGGGACGAAGCGCAAGUGACGGUACCUGUAGAAGAAGGACCGGCCAACUACGUGCCAGCAGCCGCGGUAAUACGUAGGGUCCGAGCGUUGUCCGGAAUUACUGGGCGUAAAGAGCUCGUAGGUGGUUUGUCGCGUUGUUCGUGAAAACUCACAGCUCAACUGUGGGCGUGCGGGCGAUACGGGCAGACUUGAGUACUGCAGGGGAGACUGGAAUCCCUGGUGUAGCGGUGGAAUGCGCAGAUAUCAGGAGGAACACCGGUGGCGAAGGCGGGUCUCUGGGCAGUAACUGACGCUGAGGAGCGAAAGCGUGGGGAGCGAACAGGAUUAGAUACCCUGGUAGUCCACGCCGUAAACGGUGGGUACUAGGUGUGGGUUUCCUUCCUUGGGAUCCGUGCCGUAGCUAACGCAUUAAGUACCCCGCCUGGGGAGUACGGAAU